GAAAGGAACUGGCAGCCUCAGUGCACCACGGAGCAGCUCUGCCACAGAUUUGGAGCCCUGAAGUUUGAAGAAAUCAAAUCCUUUUUUCCCUUUGGAAAACAAAAUCAAACCCAAAAGAAAGAAAGCAUCUUUACCCACUGUCACCAUGUGGAGGAAAGCCAGGAAUAUUUCUGAGUGAGAACUGAAGCAUCUCUGCUCGUUUGGAGGAAAUGCUGUUACACAGCGCAGGACAAAACAGUUCAAGCCACUUUAAACGGGAUAAAUGGAUGAAGGCUUCAAGGUAGGAUCAUCUGUU
rnacentral:lncRNA from 12 species